GGGUCAGUAGGUUGGUCGUGCCACCGGUACGUACUGGUCUCACUGAUUCCUCCUUCCUGAAGAACCGUAAUGCCAUUAAUUUGGUGUCGCGGGGAAACAGGACUGUUACUUUGAAAAAAUUAGAGUGUUUAACGCAAGCUAACGCUUGAAUACAUUAGCAUGGAAUAAUGAAAUAGGACGAUCGAUCCUAUUUUGUUGGUUUCUAGGAUUGACGUA
rnacentral:rRNA from 1 species